rnacentral:rRNA from 1 species
CCUACGGGUGGCUGCAGUGAGGAAUAUUGGUCAAUGGGCGCGAGCCUGAACCAGCCAAGUCGCGUGAGGGAAGACGGCCCUACGGGUUGUAAACCUCUUUUGCCGGGGAGCAACGGGCGCCACGUGUGGCGCCACUGAGAGUACCCGGAGAAAAAGCAUCGGCUAACUCCGUGCCAGCAGCCGCGGUAAUACGGGGGAUGCUGGCGUUAUCCGGAUUUGUGGGGUUUAAAGGAGGCGUAGGCGGAGCGUUAAGUCAGUGGUCAAAUUGAGGGGUUAAACCCUUUCCCGCCAUUGAAACUGGCGCUCUUGAGUGGAAGAGAAGUAUGCGGAAUGCGUGGUGUAGCGGUGAAAUGCAUAGAUAUAACGCAGAACCCCGAUUGCGAAGGCAGCAUGCCGGCUUCCGACUGACGCUGAAGCACGAAAGCGUGGGGAUCGAACAGGAUUAGAUACCCCAGUAGUC